AGAGUUUGAUCCUGGCUCAGAACGAACGCUGGCGGCGUGGAUAAGACAUGCAAGUCGGACGAGAUUUUUCGUUGUAGCAAUAUGAUGGAAAGUCUAGUGGCGAACGGGUGCUUAACACGUGGGCAACCUGCCGUGAAGUGGGGGAUAGCUCGCCGAAAGGCGAAUUAAUACCGCAUGUGAUUAGAGAGGACAUCCUUUCGAAAUUAAAGUCGGGGCAACCUGACGCUUCUUGUGGGGCCCGCGGCCUAUCAGCUAGUUGGUGAGGUAACGGCUCACCAAGGCUUUGACGGGUAGCUGGUCUGAGAGGACGACCAGCCACACUGGGACUGAGACACGGCCCAGACACCUACGGGUGGCAGCAGUCGAGAAUUUUUGACAAUGGGGGAAACCCUGAUCGAGCGACGCCGCGUGGAGGAUGAAGGUCUUCGGAUUGUAAACUCCUGUCAUUGGGGAACAAGGUGCAAACGUUAACUGCGUGUGCAUUGA
rnacentral:rRNA from 1 species